GACGAACGCUGGCGGCGUGCUUAACACAUGCAAGUCGAACGGAAAGGCCCCCUUGUGGGGUACUCGAGUGGCGAACGGGUGAGUAACACGUGAGUAACCUACCCUUCACUUUGGGAUAACUUCAUGAAACUGGGGCUAAUACCGGAUAGGAGCUCCUGCUGCAUGGUGGGGGUUGGAAAGUUUCGGCGGUUGGGGCUGGACUCGCGGCUUAUCAGCUUGUUGGUGGGGUAGUGGCUCACCAAGGCUUUGGCGGGUAGCCGGCCUGAGAGGGUGACCGGCCACAUGGGGACUGAGAGACGGCCCAGACUGCUACGGGAGGCAGCAGGGGGGAAUAUUGCACAAUGGGCGGAAGCCGGAUGCAGCAACGCCGCGUGCGGGAUGACGGCCUUCGGGUUGUAAACCGCUUUCGCCUGUGACGAAGCGGGAGUGACGGUAAUGGGUAAAGAAGCACCGGCUAACUACGUG
rnacentral:rRNA from 1 species